rnacentral:lncRNA from 1 species
GCUGCUGCUCGUCGCCGAGUGAUCUCCACAAUGCUACAACUUGUGAGUUUGCUAUUACUUGGAUUUUAAUGGUUUCACAUGAUGAUGUGCUCAUGCCGAGAGUAAAAACAGUAAAACUUGAAACAGAGUUUAACGUUGUUGGACUUGUGAGUGUUUGAUGUUGGAGUAGAUUUAGAUGAGCCGAGUUGGUUAGCUUAAUAGCUUUUCAAUAAUUUGCUUUGAUUAUUGUGUAAUAUAUGAUAAUUUUGUGACGAUGGUG